AACGAACGCUGGCGGCGUGCUUAACACAUGCAAGUCGAACGCGAAAGGGACUUCGGUCCUGAGUAAAGUGGCGCACGGGUGAGUAACGCGUGGAUAAUCUACCUGAUGAACCGGGAUAACAUUUCGAAAGGGGUGCUAAUACCGGAUAAGACCACGGAGUCACAUGGUUUUGGGGUAAAAGGUGGGGACCUUCGGGCCUACCGUCAUCAGAUGAGUCCGCGUACCAUUAGCUAGUUGGUGGGGUAAGAGCCUACCAAGGCGACGAUGGUUAGCUGGUCUGAGAGGAUGAUCAGCCACACUGGAACUGAGACACGGUCCAGACUCCUACGGGAGGCAG
rnacentral:rRNA from 1 species